rnacentral:rRNA from 1 species
GGCGGCGUGCCUAACACAUGCAAGUCGAACGAGAAAGUGGAGCAAUCCAUGAGUAAAGUGGCGACCGGGUGAGUAACACGUGACUAACCUACCCUCGAGUGGGGAAUAACUCCGGGAAACCGGGGCUAAUACCGCAUAACAUCGCAAGAUCAAAGCAGCAAUGCGCUUGAGGAGGGGGUCGCGGCUGAUUAGCUAGUUGGCGGGGUAACGGCCCACCAAGGCGAAGAUCGGUAUCCGGCCUGAGAGGGCGCACGGACACACUGGAACUGAAACACGGUCCAGACUCCUACGGGAGGCAGCAGUGGGGAAUUUUGCGCAAUGGGGGAAACCCUGACGCAGCAACGCCGCGUGGAGGAUGAAGCCCUUUGGGGCGUAAACUCCUUUCGACUCGGACGAUAAUGACGGUACGAGUGGAAGAAGCACCGGCUAACUCUGUGCCAGCAGUCGCGGUAAUACAGAGGGUGCGAGCGUUGUUCGGAAUUAUUGGGCGUAAAGGGCGCGUANGCGGUGCGGUAAGUCACCUGUGAAAUCUCCUGGCUUAACUGGGAGCCUGCAGGCGAAACUACCGUGCUGGAGUGUGGGAGAGGUGCGUGGAA